rnacentral:rRNA from 1 species
UACGGAGGAUCCGAGCGUUAUCCGGAUUUAUUGGGUUUAAAGGGAGCGUAGGUGGACAGUUAAGUCAGUUGUGAAAGUUUGCGGCUCAACCGUAAAAUUGCAGUUGAUACUGGCUGUCUUGAGUACAGUAGAGGUGGGCGGAAUUCGUGGUGUAGCGGUGAAAUGCUUAGAUAUCACGAAGAACUCCGAUUGCGAAGGCAGCUCACUGGACUGCAACUGACACUGAUGCUCGAAAGUGCGGGUAUCGAACAGG